CGUCAGUCAAACUUCAUCUUUGCCAUCAGCAUCAAACAUCACAUACGGCAAACAAUCUUUUUUGUUUUAAACAAAAUGAACAAAUUGUCCAAGUGCAGAGUCGAUGGGGAACGAACACCACAGUAUAAACAUUUACUGUUCCAAGAAUGAUUGGAUUUUACAACACAAACUACUAUAUUUACACAGUAUACACCAACAGAUCCAAAACAAAACUAUAUUUCACAAGCCAAACGGAUUACACUUCAGUACAGUACAUGAGUUCGAUCUGGACGCCGCGCCUCCGUGCAACCAUACCGUGUGCCUGUGCUCACCGGAGCAGCAGCAACCAGCAGCCACACCCCUUCUCCUUCCUUUCUCCAUGGACAGGAGCACACCAACACCACCAUGGACGUCCGCGAGGAGCUCAAGUCGUCCGCCGCCAAGGCAGAGCUCGCCACCCUCCUCCGGGCGCUGGAUCGGGUCGCGAAUCCCCGGAUCCAUUGGACCCCAUCAACUCCGUCAGCGCCAAGCCCCACCGCCGGCAGAGGGGAGCAGCGGAGGCAGAGGCCCGCGAAUCGAGAGAAGGGAGAGAGGGAGGAAGAGGAGAGCAGCGGAGGCGGACCCCGGCGGCGCGCGGAGGCCAGUGUCGCGCGGAGACGGGCGAGGCCAGAUGCGGGCGGAGGCUGACGGCGCGCGGAGACGGGCAGUGGACGUGUGCGGGCGUAGGCGGCGGCGCGUGUAGAUGGGCAGGGCCGGAUGCUGGCGGAGGCCGGCGGCGCGUGGAGACGGGCAGAGCCGGGCAGAGGCCGGCAGCGGGCGGCUGCUGGUGCUCCGCUCCGGCGAGCUGCUGGUGCUCCAGCCCCGUGUGGCGUGCGAGAUGCGUUUGGGCGAGGGGGCGUGGGGUGUGUGGUGUGAUAGCACAUGCGGGUUGUGGAGGACGUGGGGUCAUGGGAUUGUGUGGUGUGCGUGGUGAGUGGUGGAAGAUCUG
rnacentral:rRNA from 1 species